rnacentral:rRNA from 1 species
GGGCCCGCACAAGCGGUGGAGCAUGUGGUUCAAUUCGACGCAACGCGAAGAACCUUACCCAGGCUUGAAGAGCGAAUGACCAUUCCCGAAAGGGAACUUCCGCAAGGACAUUCGUAGAGGUGCUGCAUGGCUGUCGUCAGCUCGUGUCGUGAGAUGUUGGGUUAAGUCCCGCAACGAGCGCAACCCUUGUCUGCUGUUGCCAUCACGUUAUGGUGGGCACUCUGCAGAGACUGCCGGUGAUAAACCGGAGGAAGGUGGGGAUGACGUCAAGUCAGCAUGGCCUUUAUGUCUGGGGCUACACACGUGCUACAAUGGCCGAUACAAACCGUCGCGAUACCGCAAGGUGGAGCUAAUCGGAGAAAGUCGGUCUCAGUUCGGAUAGCAGGCUGCAACUCGCCUGCUUGAAGUUGGAAUCGCUAGUAAUCGCGGAUCAGCACGCCGCGGUGAAUACGUUCCCGGGCCUU